ACGGCCAAAUAACGUUGAAAUACCGAUUCCCGUACGAUCAUCGAAGUUAAGCAACGUCGAUCGUGGUCAGUACCUACAUGAGUGACUGCUUGGGAAUACCAGUUGCUGUAAG